GUGCAAGAAAUUUUAAAAUUUGGUUGGUUUUCAAGGUUGCAAAGUGAUACGCGGGGCCCAAGCCCACUUUCUUUAGUUAGUAUAUUUUUGAUGUGUUUUGUAUUGUGUUAGGCAUGUAGGACCUUUAGUCCUAUAAAUAGUCAUGCCUACCUUAUUGUACUUCACUUUUGAGAUUAAUGAGAAUUUAGUUUUCUAAAUCAGAAAAUAAUUCUCCCUUGAAAGUCAUUGGCUAGAGAGUCCAAAGACCUCUAGCCUCCUUCCAAAGCACACUUCAUUAUUUCAUUUUCCAAUUACUCCACCGUGCUUCUCUCUCCUCGUCACCAAUUCCUCCACUUUGCUUCCGGCACGCGUCACGAGCUCUCAAGCCACGCGUUCCUUCCCGAAGCCAUAUCAGCGUCAUUUGUAUUCCAGACGCAUUACCUCUCAUUUUCCACAUCUCAGCGUCUUCACUCUGCUAGGGUUCACUCUCAGCGUCUUCGAGAGCAUCCUCCAAACACGAACCACCAUUCAUCGUCACCCUCGCGUUUCAGAUCAGCACUGUAAGUUGAUCUCACUGAAUCACCUCUAAGAUUCAUCUUCUCCGAACCUUUCCCUUUCCAUUUGUCCGAUCGUUUUGACCUUUUCUUCACAUCUCACCGAUUGAAUCUUCAUCUUCGACUUUUAUACCAUUUAUUCGGUCAUUCUCACCGAUUAAACCAUCCUAAACCACCAUAUCUAGAUCCUUCCUCGAACAAACCUUCGAUCUAGGGUUCGUUUGAUCUCUUCCCACUCCAACACCGAAACCUAGGGUCUAUAGAGUUUUGAUCUUCUUCCGCUGCGACAUCUCUUCCAAUCAUGCGUUCAACUCCAUUUCUCGGUCUUCCUCCGAUCUGUCGUGACCGAGAUCGUAUCACAAAGUUUGGUGGUGAGACUUGGCCGAGGUGGUGUUUGGUGCCAAGAUUUGGAAAAUUUUCAGUGCCUUUGUUUUUGAGAUUUGAUGGUUGGGAUGCACUCUUUAUAUCACCAAAUGGCUACUAUAAAAAUAUCGUGCAAGAAUGUUUUCGUUUUGGUUGGUUUUUAAGCUAGUGGGUUCUUAGUGCCAAGAUUUAGGAAAUUUUCAAAUACUUAAUUUUUUAGAUUUAAAAGUUGGAAUGCACUCUUUAUAUCACCAAAUGACUACAUUAAAAAUCUUGGUGCAAGAAAUUUUUCAUUUUGGUUGGUUUUCAAGCUUACGAAGUUUGGUGGUGGGACUUGGCUAAAGUGGUGUUUGGUGCCAAGAUUUGGAAAAUUUUAAUUGCCUUUGUUUUUGAGAUAUGAUGGUUUGGAUGCACUCUUUGUAUCACCAAAUGGCUACUAUAAAAAUCUCGUGCAAGAAAGUUUUCGUUUUGGUUGGUUUUCAAGCUAGCAAAGAUUGGUGG
rnacentral:lncRNA from 1 species